rnacentral:rRNA from 1 species
UUAAGCGACUAAGCGUACACGGUGGAUGCCCUGGCAGUCAGAGGCGAUGAAGGACGUGCUAAUCUGCGAUAAGCGUCGGUAAGGUGAUAUGAACCGUUAUAACCGGCGAUUUCCGAAUGGGGAAACCCAGUGUGAUUCGUCACACUAUCAUUAACUGAAUCCAUAGGUUAAUGAGGCGAACCGGGGGAACUGAAACAUCUAAGUACCCCGAGGAAAAGAAAUCAACCGAGAUUCCCCCAGUAGCGGCGAGCGAACGGGGAGCAGCCCAGAGCCUGAAUCAGUGUGUGUGUUAGUGGAAGCGUCUGGAAAGGCGCGCGAUACAGGGUGACAGCCCCGUACACAAAAAUGCACAUACUGUGAGCUCGAUGAGUAGGGCGGGACACGUGGUAUCCUGUCUGAAUAUGGGGGGACCAUCCUCCAAGGCUAAAUACUCCUGACUGACCGAUAGUGAACCAGUACCGUGAGGGAAAGGCGAAAAGAACCCCGGCGAGGGGAGUGAAAAAGAACCUGAAACCGUGUACGUACAAGCAGUGGGAGCACGCUUAGGCGUGUGACUGCGUACCUUUUGUAUAAUGGGUCAGCGACUUAUAUUCUGUAGCAAGGUUAACCGAAUAGGGGAGCCGAAGGGAAACCGAGUCUUAACUGGGCGUUAAGUUGCAGGGUAUAGACCCGAAACCCGGUGAUCUAGCCAUGGGCAGGUUGAAGGUUGGGUAACACUAACUGGAGGACCGAACCGACUAAUGUUGAAAAAUUAGCGGAUGACUUGUGGCUGGGGGUGAAAGGCCAAUCAAACCGGGAGAUAGCUGGUUCUCCCCGAAAGCUAUUUAGGUAGCGCCUCGUGAAUUCAUCUCCGGGGGUAGAGCACUGUUUCGGCAAGGGGGUCAUCCCGACUUACCAACCCGAUGCAAACUGCGAAUACCGGAGAAUGUUAUCACGGGAGACACACGGCGGGUGCUAACGUCCGUCGUGAAGAGGGAAACAACCCAGACCGCCAGCUAAGGUCCCAAAGUCAUGGUUAAGUGGGAAACGAUGUGGGAAGGCCCAGACAGCCAGGAUGUUGGCUUAGAAGCAGCCAUCAUUUAAAGAAAGCGUAAUAGCUCACUGGUCGAGUCGGCCUGCGCGGAAGAUGUAACGGGGCUAAACCAUGCACCGAAGCUGCGGCAGCGACGCUGAUGCGUUGUUGGGUAGGGGAGCGUUCUGUAAGCCUGCGAAGGUGUGCUGUGAGGCAUGCUGGAGGUAUCAGAAGUGCGAAUGCUGACAUAAGUAACGAUAAAGCGGGUGAAAAGCCCGCUCGCCGGAAGACCAAGGGUUCCUGUCCAACGUUAAUCGGGGCAGGGUGAGUCGACCCCUAAGGCGAGGCCGAAAGGCGUAGUCGAUGGGAAACAGGUUAAUAUUCCUGUACUUGGUGUUACUGCGAAGGGGGGACGGAGAAGGCUAUGUUGGCCGGGCGACGGUUGUCCCGGUUUAAGCGUGUAGGCUGGUUUUCCAGGCAAAUCCGGAAAAUCAAGGCUGAGGCGUGAUGACGAGGCACUACGGUGCUGAAGCAACAAAUGCCCUGCUUCCAGGAAAAGCCUCUAAGCAUCAGGUAACAUCAAAUCGUACCCCAAACCGACACAGGUGGUCAGGUAGAGAAUACCAAGGCGCUUGAGAGAACUCGGGUGAAGGAACUAGGCAAAAUGGUGCCGUAACUUCGGGAGAAGGCACGCUGAUAUGUAGGUGAAGUCCCUCGCGGAUGGAGCUGAAAUCAGUCGAAGAUACCAGCUGGCUGCAACUGUUUAUUAAAAACACAGCACUGUGCAAACACGAAAGUGGACGUAUACGGUGUGACGCCUGCCCGGUGCCGGAAGGUUAAUUGAUGGGGUCAGCGCAAGCGAAGCUCUUGAUCGAAGCCCCGGUAAACGGCGGCCGUAACUAUAACGGUCCUAAGGUAGCGAAAUUCCUUGUCGGGUAAGUUCCGACCUGCACGAAUGGCGUAAUGAUGGCCAGGCUGUCUCCACCCGAGACUCAGUGAAAUUGAACUCGCUGUGAAGAUGCAGUGUACCCGCGGCAAGACGGAAAGACCCCGUGAACCUUUACUAUAGCUUGACACUGAACAUUGAGCCUUGAUGUGUAGGAUAGGUGGGAGGCUUUGAAGUGUGGACGCCAGUCUGCAUGGAGCCGACCUUGAAAUACCACCCUUUAAUGUUUGAUGUUCUAACGUUGACCCGUAAUCCGGGUUGCGGACAGUGUCUGGUGGGUAGUUUGACUGGGGCGGUCUCCUCCUAAAGAGUAACGGAGGAGCACGAAGGUUGGCUAAUCCUGGUCGGACAUCAGGAGGUUAGUGCAAUGGCAUAAGCCAGCUUGACUGCGAGCGUGACGGCGCGAGCAGGUGCGAAAGCAGGUCAUAGUGAUCCGGUGGUUCUGAAUGGAAGGGCCAUCGCUCAACGGAUAAAAGGUACUCCGGGGAUAACAGGCUGAUACCGCCCAAGAGUUCAUAUCGACGGCGGGGUUUGGCACCUCGAUGUCGGCUCAUCACAUCCUGGGGCUGAAGUAGGUCCCAAGGGUAUGGCUGUUCGCCAUUUAAAGUGGUACGCGAGCUGGGUUUAGAACGUCGUGAGACAGUUCGGUCCCUAUCUGCCGUGGGCGCUGGAGAACUGAGGGGGGCUGCUCCUAGUACGAGAGGACCGGAGUGGACGCAUCACUGGUGUUCGGGUUGUCAUGCCAAUGGCACUGCCCGGUAGCUAAAUGCGGAAGAGAUAAGUGCUGAAAGCAUCUAAGCACGAAACUUGCCCCGAGAUGAGUUCUCCCUGACUCCUUGAGAGUCCUGAAGGAACGUUGAAGACGACGACGUUGAUAGGCCGGGUGUGUAAGCGCAGCGAUGCGUUGAGCUAACCGGUACUAAUGAACCGUGAGGCUUAACCUU